rnacentral:rRNA from 1 species
CCUACGGGAGGCAGCAGUGAGGAAUAUUGGUCAAUGGCCGGAAGGCUGAACCAGCCAAGCCGCGUGAAGGACGAAGGUGCCAAGCAUUGUAAACUUCUUUUGUCAAGGGACAAAAUCAGGCUCGAGAGCCUGACCGAGGGUACUUGAAGAAAAAGCAUCGGCUAACUCCGUGCCAGCAGCCGCGGUAAUACGGAGGAUGCGAGCGUUAUCCGGAUUUAUUGGGUUUAAAGGGUGCGUAGGCGGACUGUUAAGUCAGCGGUAAAAGCCGGGGGCUCAACCCCGGCGAGCCGUUGAAACUGGCUGCCUUGAGAUGUCGAGAGGUAUGCGGAAUGCGCGGUGUAGCGGUGAAAUGCUUAGAUAUUGCGCAGAACUCCGAUUGCGAAGGCAGCAUGCCGGCGGCGAACUGACGCUGAGGCACGAAAGCGUGGGUAUCGAACAGGAUUAGAUACCCCGGUAGUC